AAAUUGAAGAGUUUGAUCAUGGCUCAGAUUGAACGCUGGCGGCAGGCCUAACACAUGCAAGUCGAACGGUAACAGGAAGAAGCUUGCUUCUUUGGCUUGCUUCUUUGCUGACGAGUGGCGGACGGGUGAGUAAUGUCUGGGAAACUGCCUGAUGGAGGGGGAUAACUACUGGAAACGGUAGCUAAUACCGCAUAACGUCGCAAGACCAAAGAGGGGGACCUUCGGGCCUCUUGCCAUCGGAUGUGCCCAGAUGGGAUUAGCUUGUUGGUGGGGUAACGGCUCACCAAGGCGACGAUCCCUAGCUGGUCUGAGAGGAUGACCAGCCACACUGGAACUGAGACACGGUCCAGACUCCUACGGGAGGCAGCAGUGGGGAAUAUUGCAC
rnacentral:rRNA from 1 species